AUUUAAAUAGUUUAAAUAAAAUACUGAUUUGUGGAAUCAGCGUUGUGCGUCAUGCAUUUUAGAUA
rnacentral:tRNA from 1 species